CUGAUAGAGGAGGCCUUGUACGAUACUCCUGGAGCGUGGGUCUGGUUUGUGCUCAUGGUGUUUUACACUAACUAUCCUUUUAAAGCAAACCUGACACGUUGUGGAGAUUGUUUCUCUUCCUCCCACUGCAACUCCUGUGAUGUCUGUCCUUGCUACCCCAGUGUGGACAGUGUGCCUCCACCUCAGCCAGAAAGGGAGAGACAGAGAUCCCCAGUGUGACCCCAGCCUGAACUGGCAUGACCACACAGUGCAACUCACACCAGCAAGGACCCUUGGUCAGAUCCAGAACAUGGAAAACGACCAGAGCAUGGAAAUGGUUUCAGAGCAGUUUUUUGAACAUUUGGAGGCCUGAUCCAGUGAAUAAUGAAGACAGUUGAAAACUCCAAGUGAAUCCUAAGAGCUCUUGAACAGAUGGCAAGAUUUGCAAUGGGAAGAGGAUGACUAAUUGACAUAUAUAUCAGCUGGAAAAUGUUUUCAGUGAAUGCCAAGAGCCGAGGACUCAGUGAAAGGAGGGUGCAGCUGGUUCCACUGCAAAACAUAUGAAACAGAGGGAUGCACUGAAAAAGGAAAAAGCAAAACCGGAGGGUUAAACAUUAACCACUUCCUGCAGAUAAAACGUUUUUCUCUUCUAAGGAUGCUCCAACACUUUGGUGAGGAGUAUUAAUAUCAAAUGCCUCAAUUAAAAGAGACAGACAGGAGACAAGCUGGCAUCUGAGACAACCCUGUUGCCAAAUGCUAAGCAUGACAUGUCCCCCUUCCAGCUUGCAGU